GUACAUGAGGGCAAUCUGGCUGUGAGAUCUGUCACCUCAUGGGUUUCCAGGGCUGAUGUGGCUGAUCUGGCUGCCUAGGUGAGUGCCCCCUUCCUCUUUUCACCACUCCAUAUGCAUCCUUCCCAUUAGCUGCGUGCUUGGUCUAAGAGGAUGACCUUCUCUUUUUUUUUUUUUUUUUUUUUUUUUUUUAAGAUUUUAUUUAUUUAUUUGACAGAGAGAGAGAGACAGACAGCGAGAGAGGGAACACAACUAGGGGGAGUGGGAGAGGAAGAAGCAGGCUCCCAGCGGAGCAGGGAGCCCAAUGCAGGGCUCGAUCCCAGGACUC
rnacentral:sRNA from 1 species